GAGGGCAUAGCUCAGUGGUAGAGCAUUUGCUUAGCAUGCACGAGGUCCUGGGUUCAAUCUCCAGUACCUCCA
rnacentral:tRNA from 1 species